AUGGUUCGCCGGUCUGCAUCACCGAAAAUGAAGUGCGCCAGCUAAUGAACAAACCCGUGCUGGAGACUUUCUCCUGGGUCCCUGAAAUAAGCUGGAAGAACCGCCCCACACCCGAAGGACCGAAUGGCCAAUUGUCAGAAAGGCAAUACCGACAGGUGGCUUAUCGAGUUAUUCUGGGGUGGGCCCUCAAAGGUCUGGGACGAGGAAAAGGCGUUGGAUUACCCAGUUGUGUGGUGUGGGCUGUAAGGGAUGCUUUCCCUUCCCCCACUGGACAGUAUGCGGGGUUACCAAGUCAGAUAGAGGACUUAUUCUGACCUUCUUACCCUACUGUCCCUACCUACCUGCACUGUAAAAAAAAAUCUCAAUAAAAAGCUAUUUUUUAAA